rnacentral:rRNA from 1 species
GCCAUCAUUUAAAGAAAGCGUAAUAGCUCACUGGUCGAGUCGGCCUGCGCGGAAGAUGUAACGGGGCUAAACCAUGCACCGAAGCUGCGGCAGCGACGCUUAUGCGUUGUUGGGUAGGGGAGCGUUCUGUAAGCCUGUGAAGGUGUGCUGUGAGGCAUGCUGGAGGUAUCAGAAGUGCGAAUGCUGACAUAAGUAACGAUAAAGCGGGUGAAAAGCCCGCUCGCCGGAAGACCAAGGGUUCCUGUCCAACGUUAAUCGGGGCAGGGUGAGUCGACCCCUAAGGCGAGGCCGAAAGGCGUAGU